CCCUUAGAUGUUCUGGGCCGCACGCGCGCUACACUGACGAAGUCAGCGAGCAUGUCCUACGCCGACAGGUGCGGGGAAUCUUGUCAAACUUCGUCGUGAUGGGGAUUGAUUAUUGAAAUUCUUGAUCAUCAACGAGGAAUUCCUAGUAAGCGCAAGUCAUCAUCUUGCAUUGAUUACGUCCCUGCCCUUUGUACACACCGCCCGUCGCUCCUACCGAUUGAAUGUUCCGGCGAACACUUUGGAAUAGUGCCUUUGUAUGGGGAAACUUGUACUUGGAUACUGUAAAGUUGUGUAAACCUUAACAUUUAGAGGAAGGAGAAGUCGUAACG
rnacentral:rRNA from 1 species